GGCAUUAAGGACUGUCCAAAUUAAAAUUACAAGGAAUUUUGUUAUAAUGAUAUUCAUACACAAGUGUCAUCGCAUUGGAAUGUUUAUCACGUGCGUGGGUGGAAAACAUCUGCAAUUACUAGUGGGGGUGGAGCUUCAGUCACAUGACACUGUACUUAGCUUUCUGAAGUUGACCGUAGCUAGUUGAUCGUGUAAAACUCUGAAAAACUAUUUGUUGUAAGCUACCUAGUAGUUAUUAAAGGCCUUAACUAAGACUAUUAGAUAGUAGAGAACUUGUUUCCUGCUGCGCAAGACAGAGUGCAACAAAAAUGUUAGGAGAUCUCGGGGACAAUUUAGGAUUUCAUCAGUAUAUGAUAUGUACAUCAGGAUUCCAAGAAAAGAUAGGAUCUAACUAAGCUGGAACAAAUGGUUUUUUUAUAAUUUAGUUUUACAAGGAAAUUUCAUGUUAAUUGGUCACAUGAUAGUCACAUGAUCUUUUUUUCAUUAAGGAAACUUAAAUUAUUAUGACAAAACAAAAUGUGCAAUUACUAUGUUUAAUAUUGAAUACUUUUUGAUAUAAUUAUGUGACGUUGGCUGUUCUUGAUUCUGGACGUGCCUUAAUACACCUGAG